UAUUUAAAACCUAAUAUAACAAGUGAAACUGCGAGCUACUGCUCACUGAUGAUACCCCCGCCGCAAGUGGAUAAUAUUAAUAGUGUAAAAAUAUGCAAGUGUUCAGUAAACAGGAAGUUGUCAAGUGAUGAAUCUGAAAACGCAUCACACGGUAUAGCUGACUUAUAUAGAUCCUGAAACCAAAUUUCAGAAAUCCUUGUAUUGUAGUUCCUGAGAAAAAUGUGACGAAAAUUUUCAACUUGGCUAUCAUGUGUAAAAUUAC
rnacentral:lncRNA from 1 species